rnacentral:rRNA from 1 species
UACGUAGGGGGCUAGCGUUGUCCGGAUUUAUUGGGCGUAAAGAGCGUGUAGGCGGCCAGGUAGGUCUGCUGUGAAAACUCGAGGCUUAACCUCGAGAUGUCGGCGGAAACCAUCUGGCUAGAGUCCGGAAGAGGAGAGUGGAAUUCCUGGUGUAGCGGUGAAAUGCGUAGAGAUCAGCAGGAAUACCCGUGGCGAAGGCGGCCCCCUGGGCCGAACCUGACGCUGAGGCGCGAAGGCUAGGGGAGCGAACGGG